rnacentral:tmRNA from 1 species
GGGGGCGAUGGGUUUCGACAAAUAAAGACAUUCUUUGAGUGGCAUGUAGAGGGUGCUCUAUAAUCUCUUAAAUUAUUUUGAGCAAAAACAUAAAUGCCGAUUAUGGCUACUCUGCUGUAGCUUAAUAGUUAACAGCCAUCUCUUUAAACUUUUGUAUGUAGAGUUUAUAUGAGGUGUCAUUCAUACAUACUAAGUCUGAAAUUUUCCUAAUAAUUUCAGAAUUAAAAUUAUCUAUUUCGAUAGAUACUUAGGAUAGUUUUAUUGUAUUGCGUCUAUACAAGACAAUAAAACAAAAAUAAAUAAUAGACUAAACAUGUAGAGGCUUUUAGAAAUUCUUAUUUGGACCGCGGUUCAAUUCCGCGCGCCUCCACAA